UACGGAGGGUGCAAGCGGUCUCCGGAAUCACUGGGUUUAAAGGGUGCGUAGGCGGCUUAGUAAGUCAGGAGUGAAAGCCUGCGGCUUAACCGUAGAAAUGCUUUUGAUACUGCUGAGCUUGAAUUAGGUUGAGGUUGGCGGAAUGUGACAUGUAGCGGUGAAAUGCAUAGAUAUGUCAUAGAGCACCAAUUGCGAAGGCAGCUGACUAGACCUGAAUUGACGCUGAGGCACGAAUGCGUGGGGAGCGAACAGG
rnacentral:rRNA from 1 species